rnacentral:tRNA from 1 species
GCCUGGGUGGCUCAGUUGGUCGAGCAUCUGACUUUGGCUCAGGUCAUGAUCUCACAGUCUGUGGGUUCAAGCCCCGCGUCGGGCU